AAAUAAGAAGUAAAUUUUACAUUUAGUUUCGACCUAAAAUUUUGGUGUUAUUUCACCCUUAUUUA
rnacentral:tRNA from 1 species